GACCUCAAAUCAGGUGGGACUACCCGCUGAACUUAAGCAUAUCAAUAAGCGGAGGAAAAGAAACUAACAAGGAUUCCCCUAGUAACUGCGAGUGAAGCGGGAAAAGCUCAAAUUUAAAAUCUGGCGGUCUCUGGCCGUCCGAGUUGUAGUCUGGAGAAGCGUUUUCCGCGUUGGACCGUGUACAAGUUUCCUGGAACGGAGCGUCAUAGAGGGUGAGAAUCCCGUCUUUGACACGGACCCCAAUGCUUUGUGAUGCGCUCUCAAAGAGUCGAGUUGUUUGGGAAUGCAGCUCAAAAUGGGUGGUGAAUUCCAUCUAAAGCUAAAUAUUGGCGAGAGACCGAUAGCGAACAAGUACCGUGAGGGAAAGAUGAAAAGCACUUUGGAAAGAGAGUUAAACAGUACGUGAAAUUGUUGAAAGGGAAACGCUUGAAGUCAGUCGCGUCGGCCGGGACUCAGCCUUGCAUCAGCUUGGUGUACUUUCCGGUCGACGGGCCAGCAUCAGUUUUGACCGCGGGAUAAAGGCGGAGGGAAUGUGGCUCUUUCGGGAGUGUUAUAGCCCUUCGUCGGAUGCCGUGGUUGGGACUGAGGAACUCAGCACGCCUUUAUGGCCGGGGUUCGCCCACGUACGUGCUUAGGAUGCUGGCGUAAUGGCUUUAAACGACCCGUCUUGAAACACGGACCAAGGAGUCUAACAUGCCUGCGAGUGUUCGGGUGGAAAACCCGUGCGCGUAAUGAAAGUGAAAGUUGGGAUCCCUGUCGUGGGGUGCACCGACGCCCGGACCAGACCUUUUGUGACGGAUCUGCGGUAGAGCAUGUAUGUUGGGACCCGAAAGAUGGUGAACUAUGCCUGAAUAGGGUGAAGCCAGAGGAAACUCUGGUGGAGGCUCGUAGCGAUUCUGACGUGCAAAUCGAUCGUCAAAUUUGGGUAUAGGGGCGAAAGACUAAUCGAACCAUCUAGUAGCUG
rnacentral:rRNA from 2 species